AACGAACGCUGGCGGCGUGCCUAACACAUGCAAGUCGAACGAGAAAGGGGCUUCGGCUCCGAGUAAAGUGGCGCACGGGUGAGUAACACGUGGGUAACCUGCCUCUAAGAUUGGGAUAACUCGUCGAAAGAUGAGCUAAUACCGAAUAAGACCACAGUUCCCGCGGGAACAGGGGUCAAAGGUAGCCUCUGCUUGCAAGCUAUCACUUAGAGAUGGGCCUGCGCACCAUUAGCUAGUUGGUAGGGUAACGGCCUACCAAGGCAAAGAUGGUUAGCUGGUCUGAGAGGAUGAUCAGCCACACUGGAACUGAGACACGGGCCAGACUACUACGGGAGGCAGCAGUGGGGAAUAUUGCGCAAUGGGCGAAAGCUUGACGCAGCAACGCCGCGUGAGUGAUGAAGGCCUUCGGGUCGUAAAGCUCUGUCGGGAGGAACGAAUGCUCCUGAGGUUAACAGCCUCGGGAGGUGACGGUACCUUCAAAGGAAGCACCGGCUAACUCUGUG
rnacentral:rRNA from 1 species